rnacentral:rRNA from 1 species
AUUGAACGCUGGCGGCAUGCCUUACACAUGCAAGUCGAACGGCAGCACGGGGGCAACCUUGGUGGCGAGUGGCGAACGGGUGAGUAAUAUAUCGGAACGUGCCCUAGAGUGGGGGAUAACGUAGCGAAAGUUACGCUAAUACCGCAUACGAUCUACGGAUGAAAGUGGGGGACCGCAAGGCCUCAUGCCCGUGGAGCGGCCGAUAUCUGUUUAGCUAGUUGGUGGGGUAAAGGCCUACCAAGGCGACGAUCAGUAGCUGGUCUGAGAGGACGGCCAGCCACACUGGGAAUGAGACACGGCCCAGACUCCUACGAGAGGCAGCAGUGGGGAAUUUUGGACAAUGGGGGCAACCCUGAUCCAGCAAUGCCGCGUGAGUGAAGAAGGCCUUCGGGUUGUAAAGCUCUUUUGUCAGGGAAGAAACGGUGAGGGCUAAUAUCCUUUGCUAAUGACGGUACCUGAAGAAUAAGCACCGGCUAACUACGUGCCAGCCGCCGCAGUAA